ensembl:lncRNA
CUCAAAUGUUACCUUCAAGAGGGUUUACAUUUUAUUUUGAUUUGUUUUUGGAUAAUGGUGGUAUACUGUUGUGUAUGUACCUCAGACACAAGUUUAUAACUCAAAAGUACUGUAGUGUUUCAUCUAUGUGUGUUAGAUUAAGGGAAUUGUGUGAAGUACUCCACCAUCAUUGUGCGUUGUGUUCACAAGAAGUAAUUUGGUGCUAAAAACCAGCUCACCGUCACAUGAUGAUGUUUUAUUAGAGUAGAUUAAAGAUACAAUCUGUUGUUCAAACGACACCCUGACACUGUUUUGAUAAAUAGCUGUGGGAAUAACAGAGUAGAAACUCAGGGGCUAAUAGAGGUGUGGGAAAGUGUAUAUUAGUACCCUUAGUACUGAACUGACAUCUGACUAUUUCUACGCUGAGUACUGAACUGAUAGACUAUUUCUACCCUGAGUACUGAACUGAUAGACUAUUUCUACGCUGAGUACUGAACUGAUAUCAGACUAUUUCCACGCUGAGUACUGAACUGACAUCUGUCUAUUUCUACACUGAGCACUGACAUCGGACUAUUUCUACGCUGAGUACUGAACUGAUAUCUGACUAUUCCUACCCUGAGUACUGAACUGACAUCGGACUAUUUCUACCCUGAGUACUGAACUGACAUCGGACUAUUUCUACCCUGAGUACUGAACUGACAUCUGUCUAUUUCUACGCUGAGUACCGAACUGACAUUUUACUUUUUCUAUGCUGAGUAAUGAACUGAUAGACUAUUUCUACGCUGAGUACUGAACUGACAUCUGUCGAUUUCUACCCUGAGUACUGAACUGACUAUUUCUCCCCUGAGUACUGAACUGAUAUCAGACUAUUUCUACCCUGAGUACUGAACUGACAUCUGUCUAUUUCUACGUUGAGUGCUUAACUGGCAUCUGACUAUUUCUACCCUGAGUACUGAACUGAUAUCGGACUAUUUCUACCCUGAGUACUGAACUGAUAUCUGACUAUUUCUACGCUGAGUACUGAACUGAUAUCAGACUAUUUCUACGCUGAGUACUGAACUGACAUCGGGGCUAUUUCUACGCUGAGUACUGAACUGACUAUUUCUACGCUGAGUACUGAACUGAUAUCAGACUAUUUCUACGUUGAGUACUGAACUGUACUGUGAUUACUGCUCCUCCUUUCAAAUCUGAGGUUCAAUGGCUCCAUCGCCAUGGUUAGUCUGUCCAUUUGGCAGCCUGUUACCUUUAUAGGGCACCACAACCCUUUGGGCCCUGGUCAACAGUAAUGAAUUACAUAGGGAGUAGGGUUCCAUUUGUGAUGCCGACUAAGACAGUGAUGUUGCCUCUCUUUAAAGUCCAGCAGUCAUUUUCUUCUCGUCUGUUGUGGCCCAGGUAGUGUUUCCUCAAUGUUGUUUGGCCAAAUUAAUCUACAAUCAACUAUUGGUUUUAUUAGGCCUUUCAUUAUCUAUUGUUUUAUUUGAUCUUCUGAAAAGCUGUUUGACGUAGGGUGAACCACGUAUAAACUCGAUGUAGACUUUAACUGACAGGCGUGCACAGCAUUUAUAGUGCGCUGUGAAUGAAGUAUUUGUGGCACAUUCUCAAAGCUUGACCACGUAGGUUAAAGAGGAAAUAUGAUUCAUUGUAAAAACAUGUAAAUA